GCCCUGUGGCCGUCUCCACCUGGUUCCAUGUCACAGCCCCUUGAUACAUCUGGGCAACACUUUCUGAUCUGUUUCUACCCGCCAAAACCAAGCCUGAGGCAUUUUCUCAUAAACAAAUGGUGGCUGAGAAAGCUGAGAAGAGAUGAUGACAAUCUUUUGAGGCUGGGGAGAAAAAUGAAGUUCACAACUCAGCAAAGAGGAUGGGCUCUGAUUGGGAGAUGUGCAGAUGAAGGAAUGAAUAUGGAAUACAUCUCUCAAAGAAUGACUGAUACAGCUUCAGGACUGAGGAUUGGAAUGUCCACAGAUGUCAUGUGUCAAGCUGCCCUGAAGGAACAGAAUGAGAAGAAAAAGAAUCUACUACCUCUUGAACCCACCAAGCACAUCCCAUCUCAGGAUCUCUACUCUUGCUGUUCUCUUUGCCUAAAACAUUCUUCCCCCAGAUCUGUGCAUGGCCCCCUCACUCACCUCACUUAGAUAUCUGUUCAAAUACCACUUGAAGACCAUUCUAUCUAAGCACACUUACAUUGUCUUAUAUUUUUAUGGCUCUUUUUGCUCCCUGCCUCUAACUAGUAAAUGUAUUUGUUUAUCUAUCUUUUGCCAUUUCCUCUCAAAUAUAAGCUUCCUGAAGACAGAGAUUUUGUUUCAUUCACUACUGCACCUUUAGUUCUCAGGACACUGCCUGGUACAUAGUAGGUGCUCAUUAAAUAUGUAUUAAAUGCAUGACUUCAGGGAACACAUCUCGAGUGGGCCAUGCACUGUGCAAGGUGCUUUAUGUACUUCAUCUCAUUUCAUAGUCAGAUCAUCUUGGUGAGAAAGCAUUCAUGGUCCCCCACAAUUUGGAGACUCCAUGUGGCUCCAGGGAAUUGGUCUCUGGUUUGACCCAGGGCCCGUGUUUUUCCCACCACAGGGGGCUGCUUCUGAGUACUGACUCCCUGAAGCUUUCUCUCUCCUUCUCCUCCUCUAUUAUACCAUC